GCACUGUUGAAGAGUCCCAAAAUAGGACGAAACGGCCGUCCAGUAC
rnacentral:hammerhead_ribozyme from 1 species